rnacentral:misc_RNA from 1 species
UUACUCAAACUAAUGGCUUUAUAUAUGACUGGACAUAUUCAAGUCCAACUUGAGCCUGUUUGAUUUUCAAGUUUCAUCGCUGGGUUUUACAGCCCGGUUAGAACUGUUGGUAUGCUUAUGGAAGCAUCUUUUAACUAAGAUGCUAGCUAAUUUGAAUGAAUAAUAAAAUUAGUGAAAACAUGACAUGCUGCUGUUUAUUAUAAAUAUCAAACAUA